AUUGAACGCUGGCGGCAGGCCUAACACAUGCAAGUCGAGCGAGCGGAGGACGGGUGAGUAAUGUAUGGGGACUGCCCGAUAGAGGGGGAUAACUACUGGAAACGGUAGCUAAUACCGCAUACUAUCGGAUAACCCAUAUGGGAUUAGAUAGUCGGUGAGGUAAUGGCUCACCUAGGCGACGAUCCCUAGCUGGUCUGCGAGAAUGAUCAGCAACACUGGGACUUAGACACGGCACAGACUCCUACGGAGUCAGCAGGGGUGAAUAUUGCACAAUGGGCGCAAGCCUGAUGCAGCCAUGCCGCGUGUAUGAAGAAGGCCCGAGGGUUGUAAAGGACUUUCAGUCGGGAGGCGUUACCGACAGAAGAAGCACCGGCUAACUCCGUGCCAGCAGCCGCGGUAAUUC
rnacentral:rRNA from 1 species